UCGUGUCGUGAGAUGUUGGGUUAAGUCCCGCAACGAGCGCAACCCUCGCCCUUAGUUGCCAGCAUUCAGUUGGGCACUCUAAGGGGACUGCCGGUGAUAAGCCGAGAGGAAGGUGGGGAUGACGUCAAGUCCUCAUGGCCCUUACGGGCUGGGCUACACACGUGCUACAAUGGUGGUGACAGUGGGCAGCGAGACCGCGAGGUCGAGCUAAUCUCCAAAAGCCAUCUCAGUUCGGAUUGCACUCUGCAACUCGAGUGCAUGAAGUUGGAAUCGCUAGUAAUCGCAGAUCAGCAUGCUGCGGUGAAUACGUUCCCGGGCCUU
rnacentral:rRNA from 1 species